rnacentral:rRNA from 1 species
GUGGGGAAUAUUGGACAAUGGGCGAAAGCCUGAUCCAGCCAUGCCGCGUGUGUGAAGAAGGUCUUCGGAUUGUAAAGCACUUUAAGUUGGGAGGAAGGGCAGUAAGUUAAUACCUUGCUGUUUUGACGUUACCGACAGAAUAAGCACCGGCUAACUUCGUGCCAGCAGCCGCGGUAAUACGAAGGGUGCAAGCGUUAAUCGGAAUUACUGGGCGUAAAGCGCGCGUAGGUGGUUUUGUAAGUUGGAGGUGAAAUCCCCGGGCUCAACCUGGGAAGUGCCUACAAAACUGCAUGACUAGAGGACGGUAAAGGGUAGUGGAAUUUCCUGUGUAGCGGUGAAAUGCGUAGAUAUAGGAAGGAAAACCAGUGGCGAAGGCGACUACCUGGACUGAUACUGACACUGAGGUGCGAAAGCGUGGGGAGCAAACAGGAUUAGAAACCCUGGUAGUCC